CCUACGGGUGGCAGCAGUGAGGAAUAUUGGUCAAUGGGCGGAAGCCUGAACCAGCCAAGUAGCGUGCAGGAUGACGGCCCUACGGGUUGUAAACUGCUUUUAUACGGGAAUAACGCGCCUUACGUGUAGGGCUUUGCAUGUACCGUAUGAAUAAGGACCGGCUAAUUCCGUGCCCGCAGCCGCGGUAAGACGGAAGGUCCGGGCGUUAUCCGGAUUUAUUGGGUUGAAAGGGAACGUAGGCCGAAUGGUAAGCGUGCUGUGAAAUGUCCGGGCUCAACCCGGGCCUUGCAGCGCAUACUGGCGUGCUUGAGUCCGCGGAAGGCAGGCGGAAUUCGUCGUGUAGCGGUGAAAUGUUUAGAUAUGACGAAGAACCCCGAUUGCGAAGGCAGCUUGCUGCAGCGGAACUGACGCUGAUGCUCGAAAGCGCGGGUAUCGAACAGGAUUAGAUACCCGGGUAGUC
rnacentral:rRNA from 1 species